AGCGAACGCUGGCGGCAGGCCUAACACAUGCAAGUCGAACGAAGUCUUCGGACUUAGUGGCGGACGGGUGAGUAACACGUGGGAACGUGCCUUUAGGUUCGGAAUAACUCAGGGAAACUUGUGCUAAUACCGAAUGUGCCCCUCGGGGGAAAGAUUUAUCGCCUUUAGAGCGGCCCGCGUCUGAUUAGCUAGUUGGUGAGGUAAAGGCUCACCAAGGCGACGAUCAGUAGCUGGUCUGAGAGGAUGAUCAGCCACAUUGGGACUGAGACACGGCCCAAACUCCUACGGGAGGCAGCAGUGGGGAAUCUUGCGCAAUGGGCGAAAGCCUGACGCAGCCAUGCCGCGUGAAUGAUGAAGGUCUUAGGAUUGUAAAAUUCUUUCACCGGGGACGAUAAUGACGGUACCCGGAGAAGAAGCCCCGGCUAACUUCGUGCCAGCAGCCGCCGUAACAC
rnacentral:rRNA from 1 species